GCCAAACAGCUAGCCCAAUCACCCAAUAACUAAACAAUGUAAAUAAAACAAAAUAAGCCUAACACCAAAAAUUAAAUCAUUCUUUUACCUUAGUAUGGGCGACAGAAAAGGUUACACCUGGAGCAAUAGAAAAAGUACCGCAAGGGAAAGCUGAAAGAGAAGUGAAACAACUUAUAUAAGCACUAAAAAGCAAAGAUUAAAUCUUGUACCUUUCGCAUCAUGAUUUAGCCAGUAUACCCAAGCAAAGAGACCUUUAGUUUGAAACCCCGAAACCAAGUGAGCUACCCCGAGACAGCCUAUUAAGGGCCAACCCGUCUCUGUGGCAAAAGAGUGGGAAGAGCUCCGGGUAGAGGUGACAAACCUACCGAACUUGGUGAUAGCUGGUUGCCUAAGAAAUGAAUAGAAGUUCAGCCUCGUUCUCCCCGAAUCAAAAAGUAAAAAGAUACUAGAGGGAAACAUACGAGAGUUAGUUGAAGGGGGUACAGCCCCUUUAACGAAGGACACAACCUUUCCAGGAGGAUAAAGAUCAUAAUACAUAAGACAUCCUGUUCUAGUGGGCCUAAAGGCAGCCAUCUAAACAGAAAGCGUUAAAGCUCAGACAGAAAUAAGUUUAUUAUUCCGACAAGAAAUCUUACUCCCCUAAUAUUAUUAGGCCAGCCCAUGCCCACAUGGGAGAGACUAUGCUAAAAUGAGUAACAAGAAGGCAAGCCCUUCUCCAAGCACAAGUGUAAGCCAAACCGGACUAACCAUUGGCAAUUAACGAACUCAACCCAAGAGAGCAAUGUGGACUAUAAUAAAACCAGGAAGAACCCACAACCGACCUAUCGUUACCCCCACACUGGUGUGCUAUUAACGGAAAGACUAAAAGAAGGGAAAGGAACUCGGCAAACACAAGCCUCGCCUGUUUACCAAAAACAUCGCCUCCUGCAACACAACCAAGUAUAGGAGGUCCAGCCUGCCCAGUGACUACAAGUUCAACGGCCGCGGUAUUUUGACCGUGCAAAGGUAGCGCAAUCACUUGUCUCUUAAAUAGAGACCUGUAUGAAUGGCUAAACGAGGGCUUAACUGUCUCCCCCCUCCAGUCAGUGAAAUUGAUCUACCCGUGCAGAAGC
rnacentral:rRNA from 1 species